AGAGGCUUAGGAUAGCACCAGACCAAAGGCCUUCAAAGCCUUAAGCGAGAGUGAAAAUCUCUCAGCCUCUG
rnacentral:tRNA from 1 species